rnacentral:rRNA from 1 species
CAGGCCUAACACAUGCAAGUCGAGCGGUAAGGCCUUUCGGGGUACACGAGCGGCGAACGGGUGAGUAACACGUGGGUGAUCUGCCCUGCACUCUGGGAUAAGCUUGGGAAACUGGGUCUAAUACCGGAUAUGACCACAGCAUGCAUGUGUUGUGGUGGAAAGAUUUAUCGGUGCAGGAUGGGCCCGCGGCCUAUCAGCUUGUUGGUGGGGUAAUGGCCUACCAAGGCGACGACGGGUAGCCGACCUGAGAGGGUGACCGGCCACACUGGGACUGAGACACGGCCCAGACUCCUACGGGAGGCAGCAGUGGGGAAUAUUGCACAAUGGGCGGAAGCCUGAUGCAGCGACGCCGCGUGAGGGAUGAAGGCCUUCGGGUUGUAAACCUCUUUCAGCAGGGACGAAGCGUGAGUGACGGUACCUGCAGAA